AUUGAACGCUGGCGGAAUGCUUUACACAUGCAAGUCGAACGGCAGCACGGACUUCGGUCUGGUGGCGAGUGGCGAACGGGUGAGUAAUGUAUCGGAACGUGCCCAGUCGUGGGGGAUAACGUAGUGAAAAUUACGCUAAUACCGCAUACGAUCUAUGGAUGAAAGCGGGGGAUCGCAAGACCUCGCGCGAUUGGAGCGGGCGAUAUCAGAUUAGGUAGUUGGUGGGGUAAAGGCCCACCAAGCCAACGAUCUGUAGCUGGUCUGAGAGGACGACCAGCCACACUGGAACUGAGACGCGGUCCAGACUCCUACGGGAGGCAGCAGUGGGGAAUUUUGGACAAUGGGCGAAAGCCUGAUCCAGCCAUUCCGCGUGCAGGAUGAAGGCCCUCGGGUUGUAAACUGCUUUUGUACAGAACGAAAAGGUUUCUACUAAUACUAGGAGCUCAUGACGGUACUGUAAGAAUAAGCACCGGCUAACUACGUGCCAGCCGCCGCGGUAA
rnacentral:rRNA from 1 species